CGUGACUAACUGCGAUAAGCUUCGGUAAGCUGUAAGUAAGCAAUGACCCGGAGAUUUCCGAAUGGGGAAACCCAAAACCGUGAGGUUUUAUCGCUAAGUGAAUUCAUAGCUUAGUUGAAGGAAGACGCGGGGAACUGAAACAUCUAAGUACCCGCAGGAAGAGAAAGAAAUUCGAUUCCCAUAGUAGCGGCGAGCGAAGUGGGAACAGCCCAAACCAA
rnacentral:rRNA from 1 species